rnacentral:rRNA from 1 species
GAAUAUUUUUGACCGUUGCCCCCUGAANGACCAAACGGGGGACCGNUAAUUUUUNCCUGGGAACCNGCUUGUUGGAGGGGGUUACCUCCUGGAACCGGUACCUAAUCCCGCAUACCUUCCCAGGACCAAGGGGGGGAACNUUCGGGCCUCAUGCCNUCAAAUGUGCCCAAAUGGGAUUANCUAGUAGGGGGGGNAACGGCUCACCUAGGCAACAAUCCCUAGNUGGUCUGAAAGGAUGACCACCCNCCCUGGAACUGAAACNCGGCCCAAACCCCUACGGGAGGCANCAGGGGGAAAUAUUGCACAAGGGGCNCAAGCCUGAUGCACCCUUGCCGGGGGUGUAAAAAAGGCCUUCGGUUUGAAAAGNAUUUUCACCGGGAAGAAAGGCAAUAAGGUNAAUACCCUUGUCAAUUGACUUUCCCCGCAAAAAAACCCCCGGCUUAAUUCCGNGCCACCACCCGCGUNAAUACGGAGGGGGCAAGCUUUAAUCGAAUUUNCGGGGCGUAAAGCCCACCCNGGCGGUCUGUCAAGUCGAAUGUGAAAUCCCCGGGCUCACCCUGGAAACUGCUUUCAAAACUGGCAGGCUAAANUCUUGUAGAGGGGGAUAAANUUCCAGGUGUACCGUUAAANUGCUUAAGAGAUCUGGAGNAAUNCCGGUGGCAAAGGCGCCCCCUNGNAAAAAGACUGACCCUCAGGUGCNAAANGCGGNGGGGAACAAAAAGGAAUNAAAAUACCCUGGUA